AGAGAAAAACGAGAUCAGGAGAAGAAGGGAUGUACACAUUAAACACACCAUGGACCACUUGGAUGAAAUUCAUGGACCACUGGUGCUCCGUGGACCACAGUUUGGGAUCCCCUGCUCUUACCACUCCACCAAACUGGCUCUCUGGGUGCCAGAGCUCAGGUCUGGAACAGAGGAAUCUCCAUAGUGCAAACCAGUAAUAGAGCUUGGGAGUGUGACUCAACAAGUAAAAUGCAGCCCCCUUUGGUGGUCUUUCAGGGGCUGGGCAAACCAUGUUUCCCCCACCUCCUUGCCUGCUUGGACCCACAAUGUAGAUUUUUAUGGUCUGCCUGGUGCUCGUUACAUGACUGGUGGCUUGCAAGUUCUGCCCUUCAGUGUUUCUAAGCAUGUGGCAAGUUCCAUUUAAUGUAACCAUCACCAGCUAUCUGUCCCUUCCUAUAUACUUAAAAACCUAAGGCUGA